rnacentral:rRNA from 1 species
GAUGAACGCUGGCGGCGUGCCUAAUACAUGCAAGUAGAACGCUGAAGGAGGAGCUUGCUCUUCUGGAUGAGUUGCGAACGGGUGAGUAACGCGUAGGUAACCUGCCUGGUAGCGGGGGAUAACUAUUGGAAACGAUAGCUAAUACCGCAUGACAACAGUUAUUGCAUGAUAACUGUUUAAAAGGGGCAACUGCUCCACUACCAGAUGGACCUGCGUUGUAUUAGCUAGUUGGUGAGGUAACGGCUCACCAAGGCGACGAUACAUAGCCGACCUGAGAGGGUGAUCGGCCACACUGGGACUGAGACACGGCCCAGACUCCUACGGGAGGCAGCAGUAGGGAAUCUUCGGCAAUGGACGGAGGUCUGACCGAGCAACGCCGCGUGAGUGGAGAAGGUUUUCGGAUCGUAAAGCUCUGUUGUAAGAGAAGAACGAGUGUGAGAGUGGAAAGUUCACACUGUGACGGUAUCUUACCAGAAAGGGACGGCUAACUACGUG